rnacentral:rRNA from 1 species
CGGAGGGUGCGAGCGUUGUCCGGAAUCACUGGGCGUAAAGGGCGCGUAGGCGGCAUGCCAAGCGUGUGGUGAAAGCCCGGGGGCUCAACCCCGGGUCGGCCGUGCGGACUGGCGUGCUUGAGCACUGUAGGGGCGGGUGGAAUUCCGGGUGUAGCGGUGGAAUGCGUAGAGAUCCGGAAGAACACCGGUGGCGAAGGCGGCCCGCUGGGCAGGAAGACCCCGCAAGGGGUCGGCUGACGCUGAGGCGCGACAGCGUGGGGAGCAAACAGGAUUAGAUACCCUGGUAGUCCACGCCGUAAACGAUGGGCACUAGGUGCCUGGGGGAGCGACCCUCCGGGUGCCGGCGCUAACGCAUUAAGUGCCCCGCCUGGGGAGUACGGCCGCAAGGCUG